rnacentral:misc_RNA from 1 species
AAGCAGCAAGACAGCUUCACAAUUGCAGUCCAUGGCCCAAGGAGCAAUCACAGCAAUUAGAGCUUCAUAUUCUACUCUCAAGCAACAUAAACCUUAAAUUAAUCCAUGCAGCUGGGGGAUGGUAAUAGCUAGCAAACAUUAACAAUCCCAUUUGCUACAUUCCGCUUCUCCAAGGCAAGCGGCUUACUUGCCAUCGAGGCAUUCCCAGCUUUUGUAACUGGGCCAUUCUCAGUAGGCUUCAGGUCCCCAUUGGACUGAGCAAUUGAAAUGCUUCCCUGGGUCACAUCACUCACAACCUCCAGUGUAUUGUGUGACAUAUUUGCCACUUCUUUCUUCUCGUCUUCAAGCUUUCUUUCUAAUACCUGUUUCUGGAACUGCUGUUGCUU